rnacentral:rRNA from 1 species
UGAACGCUGGCGGCAUGCUUAACACAUGCAAGUCAAACGGUUCUCUUUUGAGAACAGUGACGGACGGGUGCGUAAUGUGUAAGAAUCGACAUUCAGGUGGGGGAUAACAAUUGGAAACGUUUGCUAAUACCCCAUAGUAGCUAUUAAAGUGUAAAGAUUUUCGCCUGGAUACGAGCUUGCAUCUGAUUAGCUUGUUGAUGAGGUAAUGGCUCACCCAAGGCGACGACGGGUAGCCGGCCUGAGAGGGCGACCGGCCACACUGGGACUGAGACACGGCCC